AUGUUUCUGUCUCUGUGGAGGUUCUUUCUGUUCUUUCCAUUCUUUCCGUUCUUUCCGUUCUUUUUGUUGUUUUUGAACUGUCACCUAAUUUUCUGCCGUAUGUUUCUGUCUCUGUGGAGGUUCUUUCCGUUCUUUCCGUUCUUUCCGUUCUUUCCGUUCUUUCCGUUCUUUCCGUUCUUUCCGUUCUUUCCGUUCUUUCCGUUCUUUCCGUUCUUUCCGUUGUUGUUUUUGAACUGUGACCUAAUUUUCUGCCCUUUGUUUCUGUCUUUGUGGAGGUUCUUUCCGUUCUUUCCGUUCUUUUUGUUGUUUUUGACCUGUCACCUAAUUUUCUGCCCUAUGUUUCUGUCUCUGUGGAGGUUCUUUGCGUUCUUUGCGUUCUUUGCGUUGUUGUUUUUGAACUGUCACCUAAUUUUCUGCCCUAUGUUUCUGUCUCUGUGGAGGUUCUUUCCGUUCUUUCCGUUCUUUCCGUUGUUGGUCUUGACCUGUCACCUAAUUUUCUGCCUCCAUGUUUCUGUCUCUGUGGAGGUUCUUUCAGUUCUUGCAGUUCUUGCAGUUCUUGCAGUUCUUUCAGUUCUUUCAGUUCUUUCAGUUCUUUCAGUUCUUUCAGUUCUUUCAGUUCUUUCAGUUCUUUCCGUUCUUUCCGUUCUUUCCGUUCUUUUUGUUGUUUUUGACUGUCACCUAAUUUUCUGCCCUAUGUUUCUGUCUCUGUGGAGGUUCUUUCCGUUCUUUCCGUUCUUUUUGUUGUUUUUGAACUGUCACCUAAUUUUCUGUUCUAUGUUUCUGUCUCCGUGGAGGUUCUUUGCGUUCUUUGCGUUCUUUGCGUUCUGUCCGUUCUUUGCGUUCUUUGCGUUCUUUGCGUUCUUUGCGUUCUUUGCGUUCUUUGCGUUCUUUGCGUCUUUGCGUUCUUUGCGUUGUUGUUUUUGAACUGUCACCUAAUUUUCUGCCCUAUGUUUCUGUCUCUGUGGAGGUUCUUUCCGUUCUUUCCGUUCUUUCCGUUCUUUCGGUUGUUGUUUUUGAACUGUCACCUAAUUUUCUGCCCUAUGUUUCUGUUCUGUGAGUUCUUUCUGUUCUUUCGACUGUACCUAAUUUUCUGCCCGUGUUUCUGUCUCUGUGGAGGUUCUUUCCGUUUUUCCGUUCUUUCCGUUCUUUCCGUCUUCCGUUUUUUGAACUGUCACCUAAUUUCUGCCCUAUGUUUGUGUCUCUGUGGAGGUUCUUUCCGUUCUUUCCGUUCUUUCCGUUCUUUCCGUUUGUUGUUUUUGAACUGUCACCUAAUUUUCUGCCCUAUGUUUCUGUCUCUGGGAGGUUCUUUCCGUUCUUUCCGUUCUUUUUGUUGUUUUUUGAACUGUCACCUAAUUUUCUGCCUAUGUUUCUGUCUCUGUGGAGGUUCUUCCGUUCUUUCCGUUCUUUCUGUUGUUGUUUUUGAACUGUCACAAUUUUCUGCCUAUGUUUCUGUCUCUGUGGAGGUUCUUUCCGUUCUUUCCGUUCUUUCUGUUGUUGUUUUUGAACUGUCACCUAAUUUUCUGCCCUAUGUUUCUGUCUCUGUGGAGGUUCUUUCCGUUCUUUUUCUGUUCUUUUCUCUUGUUUCUUUUUGUUGUUUUUGAACUGUCACCUAAUUUUCUGCCCAUGUUUCUGUCUCUGUGGAGGUUCUUUCCGUUCUUUCCGUUCUUUGUCUCUGUGGAGGUUCUUUGCGUUCUUUGCGUUCUUUGCGUUCUUCUUGCGUUCUCUUUGCGUUCUUUCUUUGCGUUCUUUGCGUUCUUCUUGGCUUUCUUUGCGUUCUUUGCGUUCUUUCUGCGUUCUUUGCGUUUUCUUUGCGUUCUUUGGUUUUUCUUUCCGUUCUUUCUGCGUUCCUUGGUUCUUUGGUCUUUGCGUUGUUGUUUUUGAACUGUCACCUAAUUUUCUGCCCUAUGUUUCUGUCUCUGUGGAGGUUCUUUCCGUUCUUUCCGUUCUUUUGUUGUUUUUGAACUGUCACCAAUUUUCUGCGCUAUGUUUCUGUCUCUGUGGAGGUUCUUUCUGUUCUUUCCGUUCUUUCCGUUCUUUUUUGUUGUUUUUGAUGUCACAAUUUUCUGCUCUAUGUUUCUGUCUCUGUGGAGGUUCUUUCGUU
rnacentral:lncRNA from 7 species